rnacentral:rRNA from 1 species
UACGUAGGGUGCAAGCGUUUGUCCGGAAUUAUUGGGCGUAAAGAGCUCGUAGGCGGUCUGUCGCGUCUGCUGUGAAAACUCAGGGCUUAACCCUGAGCUUGCAGUGGGUACGGGCAGACUAGAGGUGCGGUAGGGGAGACUGGAAUUCCUGGUGUAGCGGUGAAAUGCGCAGAUAUCAGGAGGAACACCGGUCGGCGGAAGGCGGGUCUCCUGGGCCGAUGACUGACGCUGGAGGAGCGAAAGCGUGGGAGCGAACAGGAUUAGACUACCCGAGU